UACGUAGGGCGCAAGCGUUGUCCGGAAUUAUUGGGCGUAAAGAGCUCGUAGGCGGUCUGUCGCGUCGGAUGUGAAAGCCCGGGGCUUAACCCCGGGUCUGCAUUCGAUACGGGCAGACUAGAGUGUGGUAGGGGAGAUCGGAAUUCCUGGUGUAGCGGUGAAAUGCGCAGAUAUCAGGAGGAACACCGAUGGCGAAGGCAGGUCUCUGGGCAUUAACUGACGCUGAGGAGCGAAAGCAUGGGGAGCGAACAGG
rnacentral:rRNA from 1 species